rnacentral:rRNA from 1 species
GAUGAACGCUGGCGGCGUGCUUAACACAUGCAAGUCGAACGAGAAGUGGAGACGGAAAUCUUCGGGCGGAAGCCUCUAUUUCGAGAGGCGGAAGGGUGAGUAACGCGAGGGUAACAUGACUCAUACAGGGGGAUAACAGUUGGAAACGAAUGUUAAUAGCGAAUAAGACAACAGAACCGCAUGGUGCGGAGGUAAAAACUCCGGUGGUAUGAGAUGGAUCUGCGUAGGAUUUGCCAGUUGGCGGGGGAACGGACGACCAAAUUGACGAUCGAUAGCCGAUCUGGGAGGAGGACCGGCCACAAUGGGACUGAGACACGGCCCAAACUCCUACGGUAGGCAGCGGUGGGGAGUAUGGCACAAUGGAGUAGACCCUGGGACGACGACGCCACGUGAGGUAAGAAGUUUUUCGGUAUGUAAAGCGCGAGCAGCAUGUGAGAUAAUGACGGUACCUUAUGAAUAAGCCCCGGCUAACUACGUG